CAUAAGACCAGCAUGGGCGUCAGGAUGGAAUCACAUACUCAGGUCUUCAUAUUCCUGCUGCUCUGGUUGUCUGGUGCAGAUGGGGACACUGUGAUGACCCAGUCUCCCGCAUCCAUGUCCACGUCAGUGGGAGAGAGGGUCACCGUGAACUGCAAGGCCAGUCAGAGUGUGGGUACUGUUGUUGCCUGGUUCCAACAGAAACCAGGGCAGUCUCCUAAACGGCUGAUCUACUUGGCAACCAAUCGGCACACUGGGGUCCCUGAUCGCUUCACAGGCAGUGGGUUUGGGAGAGAUUUCACUCUUACCAUCAGCAAUGUGGAGGCUGAAGACCUGGCUGUUUAUUACUGUCUGCAGUAUGACUCCAUUCCUCCCACAGUGUUUCAACCUCAUACAGAAACCUCCUCUGCUAUUCUAACCAGCUGCAUGCACCACACAGCCCUUGACCUACACACUUUCCUUCUGCCUACAACUGCUAUGCCUAACUGA